UCCUCGUUCAAAGAAUCGCAUUCAAAGCUCACACACAGAGAGAAAGUCGUCAUGACUCUUCUCUCUCUCCAUACCUAGCUUUGGGAGAAAGUCCCCGGACACCCUGACUGUUUAAACGUCCUCUUGCAGGGCCCAGUCAGGCAAUGCGGAAACGCGCCGCCAUAGAAGCAAUUCGAUAGCGGCUUAUACGCCCUAUUCCCCUCCCAGUGUUGUCUCCUGUACCCGAACACUCUGCCCCUUCGGGGUCUCUGUGGAAAACAAUGGUUGGUGCAGGGCAGUGCUGGAGAGGUGGGUUUUUAUUUGGGUUGCCUUUCGUCGUGUUUGGAUAGUCAUGCGAUUGCCCCCCAUUUUUAUUUCUCUUCUGGGUUUUCCGUUCAUCUGGAGGUGAAUGUGAACAGACCUUCUUUGGCUGAAAAGUCGGGAAGGAUUAGUUGGGAAAUUGGGGGGUACCUCAAUGGGGCUCAUUCUUGAGACGAGG
rnacentral:RNase_MRP_RNA from 2 species